rnacentral:rRNA from 1 species
UACGUAGGGUGCGAGCGUUGUCCGGAAUUAUUGGGCGUAAAGAGCUCGUAGGCGGCUUGUCACGUCGGGUGUGAAAGCCCGGGGCUUAACCCCGGGUCUGCAUUCGAUACGGGCAGGCUAGAGUGUGGUAGGGGAGAUCGGAAUUCCUGGUGUAGCGGUGAAAUGCGCAGAUAUCAGGAGGAACACCGGUGGCGAAGGCGGAUCUCUGGGCCGAUACUGACGCUGAGGAGCGAAAGCGUGGGGAGCGAACAGG